ACUUGUGCGUCGAGCUGGCCGGCCGCGCCGCCUGCGCCCGCUCCGCCCGGGCCUCCCGCGCCGCCGGGGCCGCCGGGGGGCGUCUGCGUCUGGCUGGGAAGGGUGAAGUCGGUGAAUUCGAACUCGGAGCCCUGGGUGUCGGCGCCGAGCAGCUCGGCCUCCUCAGUGUCCAAGAAGGUGAGUGUUUGCGAGCUGGGGCCGUACGCCUCCACACUCAUCCUGCCGCCCGGGCCGCGCCUUCAGCGGGCGCCUCACCGCACUCGAGCCCGAGGCUUCGGCUAGGCCUAGGCCGUAAUCCGGAGUAGCCGCUGCCGCCGCCCUGAGAGCCGGGCGGGCUCCGAGUCGGCCUCCGAAAGCAGAGCCGGGCCGCCGGUUCUGAGCUCUGAGUUGCCGCCGCCGCCGCCGCCGCCGCCGCCGCCGCCGCCGCCGCCGCGCCCCUCCGUAACGCUGCUCGCCUCAAAGCCGACCGCCGCUCUCAGACCCCUGGACAGGAACCGCCGUCGCCGCCACCGCUGCGGUGCGCGUGCGCGAGCCGGACGCCGGCACAGAUGCGCGUGCGCGAGUCCGACGCCGGCGCAGGCGCGCGCGUUCCUCCCGGAAAGUAGCCAACCGCACCGGAGCACUGGGAGCUAAGCGGGAGGGCGGAACUCGCCGUGCGCCUGCGCGAAGAGGCGGGCCUUCAACCGCCUAAAGGACCUGGGCUCGCGAACUUGGCCCCGCCCCAACUGCUGCCUAGCGGUGCGCAUGCGCGCAUGCGACGUCCUCACCUCCGGGCUUCAGGGCUGGAUGUUCGUUAGGUGCUGAUUGAGGCUCUCUCCAGAAGGUUUUGGGUGUGGAGCCUGUGGCACGGGGACCACGCACCUGCACUCCUUGAACCUUAGUUACCCCGUCUGUCACUUGGCUCGUGGCCAUUCUCAGUAUUCAUCGAUUGAAUAAAUGAGUAGGGAGCGGGGACUCUGCCAAAUGGUAGUCACUGCUACCCCGAGCACUCCUGAAGCCUGUGAAGAUAAAUGCUUCUUUUGUCUUGCGAUCAAGUCGCACUGGUCCGAGCUAGCCUGGGAAUCGCUGAGAAGGGGUCAGGUCCCCUAGAACUAGUUAUGAAUGGAUGUGAGCUCCUCUUGUAAGCGCUGGGUGCACAACUCUGAGCCAUUUCUCCGGCCUGUUUUGGUUUUGAUUGAGGGUCUCACACUGUAACCAUGGUUGGUUUGGAAUUCGGGGGAAUCCUCCUGCCUCAAAGUGCCUGGUGGUGGGGUGACAGGUGUACAUGCAAUGUUGACCACGGAACUAAGGGCUCUUGUGUGCUAGGCAGAAGCUACCAACUGAUGAGCAUCCACAGCCAGCUGCGAGACUUAGAGAAACACUCCUCCCUGGGUUUCCUUCCCACUCUUCAGUGGAGGAAGUGUAAGUGUUGCAGCUCUGAAGGGAAAGGCAUUCCCCCCACAGAAGUGUAUCUGCUCUGCUUGGGCAGGGGGAGGGGUGGAGGUGGUUCCCCAAAGUGUUUCAGCUGUGCUCCAAAAGAUCCUGGCAAUUGGGAGCCAAGAAAUAGAACAAAGUCACAGCACACAACAAACCUAACACGAGAUUUAUUGCGAGGGAAAAACCCAGGAGGGUGGCUGCCUCUGCUUGGGUGGAUCUCCCAGUAAGGACACUCCUUAAAAUCCAAGCACUCAGGAGUCGAAGGCAGGGAGAUCUCUGUAACUCUGAGGCCAGCCUUGUCUACAGAGCGAAGUUCAGGACACCCAACAUUACAUCAUCUCAAAACACACAAAAACAGAUGCUGAGUGUAGAGGCGCAGUCUCCCAGGACUCUGGAGAUGGAGACAGAGCAAGGAUUCAAGGUCAUCCUAAGUUGUAUAGCAAGUUUGAGGCCAGCCUGAGGUAUAUUAGAACUUGGCUAAAAAACACAAUGAAACAAACAAAAACAGAUAAGUAAAUGUUCCAUCAGGCCAAGGAUUAGUUAGCCCAGUUCGCUGCAACCUUCCAUAGAGGGACAGUAGUGCCUGUAGCCACUGCUCAAUAAAAGGUUCUCUGUUGCUUUGUUGUUUUUC
rnacentral:lncRNA from 1 species